CCAGAAUCUGAUUGCUUUUAUUCCUGAUCGAGCUUUUUCACUCAAAUGUAAGAAAAGCUUCUUUAUAAGCAUACAGUAAAGGUGUAUUAGUGCAGAGAAAUUAGGGGGUGUGGCCAGGUGUAUUAGUGCAGAGAAAUUAGGGGGUGUGGCCAGGUGUAUUAGUGCAGAGAGAUAAGGGGCAUGACCAGGUGUAUUAGUGCAGAGAAAUUAGGGGGUGUGGCCAGGUGUACUAGUGCAGAGAGAUAAGGGGCAUGACCAGGUGUAUUAGUGCAGAGAAAUUAGGGGGUGUGGCCAGGUGUAUUAGUGCAGAGAGAUAAGGGGCAUGACCAGGUGUAUUAGUGCAGAGAAAUUAGGGGGUGUGGCCAGGUGUAUUAGUGCAGAGAAAUUAGGGGGUGUGGCCAGGUGUACUAGUGCAGAGAGAUAAGGGGCAUGACCAGGUGUAUUAGUGCAGAGAAAUUAGGGGGUGUGGCCAGGUGUAUUAGUGCAGAGAGAUAAGGGGCAUGACCAGGUGUAUUAGUGCAGAGAAAUUAGGGGGUGUGGCCAGGUGUAUUAGUGCAGAGAAAUUAGGGGGUGUGGCCAGGUGUAUUAGUGCAGAGAGAUAAGGGGCAUGACCAGGUGUAUUAGUGCAGAGAAAUUAGGGGGUGUGGCCAGGUGUACUAGUGCAGAGAGAUAAGGGGCAUGACCAGGUGUAUUAGUGCAGAGAAAUUAGGGGGUGUGGCCAGGUGUAUUAGUGCAGAGAGAUAAGGGGCAUGACCAGGUGUAUUAGUGCAGAGAAAUUAGGGGGUGUGGCCAGGUGUAUUAGUGCAGAGAG